AGGUAAUACAUAUAAUAUUCCAAUAUGCUUAUGGCUACUGGACACAUACCCAUAUAAUCCCCCUAUCUGUUUUGUUAAGCCUACUAGUUCAAUGACUAUUAAAACAGGAAAGCAUGUUGAUGCAAAUGGGAAGAUAUAUCUUCCUUAUCUACAUGAAUGGAAACACCCACAGUCAGACUUGUUGGGGCUUAUUCAGGUCAUGAUUGUGGUAUUUGGAGAUGAACCUCCAGUCUUCUCUCGUCCUGUUUCGGCAUCCUAUCCGCCAUACCAGGCAACGGGGCCACCAAAUACUUCCUACAUGCCAGGCAUGCCAGGUGGAAUCUCUCCAUACCCAUCCGGAUACCCUCCCAAUCCCAGUGGUUACCCAGGCUGUCCUUACCCACCUGGUGGUCCAUAUCCUGCCACAACAAGUUCUCAGUACCCUUCCCAGCCUCCUGUGACCACUGUUGGAGCUGCUGCCACCGUUGCUGCAGCCACGGCAGGCACCGCCACCGCUGCCAGAGGAGUGGGCUUGGGAAGGAAGUGGUCACCUCGCUUGGAGCUUCACUCGGAAGCAUCCUCCUCCCCUGCAGCCCUCCCACGGGAAUGACUGGAUGAAAGUGAGCUGGUACAGAAAGCCAACUCACUGAGCAGGCUGAGCGCUAUGAUGAUAUGGCUGUAGCCAUGAAGGCAGUCACAGAACAGAGGCAUGAAUUGUCUAACGAAGAGAGAAAUC
rnacentral:sRNA from 1 species